rnacentral:tRNA from 1 species
GAUCAAUUGGUAGAUCACAAGGCUCUUAACCUUAUGGAUGUGGGUUCGAGCCCCAU